UUAACAAUUAGGAUAAAAACU
rnacentral:piRNA from 1 species